GGCGUUCUCCAGGUUGCGGAAGAUCUCGUCGGGCGGCAGUGUGAUGCUUUUGUCGAGGCCGUCGCGCGCUGAGUGGGACGUUCGAACGCCCCCAGCUGCUUUCGUGCAAUCUGCCGCCAUUGCCGUUUCCACAGCACGGACACAAAGGCGGCUAUUGGGUGACCCCCACAAUUGGAUGUGGCCACAGUGAGGAUGCAGGUGGACAUGGGUGCUGCAGUAUCGCUGGUGUCAGAGACAGUUUACAAGGAGAAAUUGCAACAUCUCACCCUAGAAGGGGCAAGGUCGACUUUAAAGACUUACACUGGUGUGUUUGUUCCAGUGGGGGGAGUAGUACACGUAACAGUGGAGAGUAAAGAACAGAGAAAGAACCUUCCAUUGUGCAUAAAGGAUUACAGGGCAGGAGGCCGCUUGGCCGUUCGAUCCUUUGAAAGAGAUUCGGUGGAUCCUGUUCGGUGACUUCCAUUACCUGGCUCUUUCAGCACAUUCCGGAUCUCUGCCCACUUUUAAGUACUUACCUAAUGAAUGCUACCAGCGAAUCUUA